GCCUCUGGUCAGUGUCUGUGGCAUGGUCGUCGGAAUCCCGAUCUUCGUCUGGGUCCUUCCAGUGAGUCCCGAAACAAACCGAAUUCCAGAAAGGCGAAGGGAAAUGCGAUAAAGGUCAAGUGUGUCCAACAGGAUUUGAAUGUAGAACAGAACAGAUCAUUGUGACCUCACGCUUCCCGGAAUGCAGUGAUCUGCGUUCGGAAGUGAUGGCUAGAACGGAUGUGUUGAAGAAUGCCACUCUCCGCACUACAAUAGCUUCUACAACCCUGAGCGACUUCUACACAGACAACAGUGUGUUCCUAAUCGAACUGAAUUCACUGCUCAGGGGGCCCCCCGACGGCAGCCCAGAGGAUAUCGUGAAAGGCAGAAUCAGCCUCUUCAAUUCCCUGGUUCUCGGAGAACUGGCAGGGUCUCGCUCGAUAUUGACCGUAGAAGGAUCUCGUCUACUUCAGCGAUGAUCUCGUCUUGGCUCUGAACCUUAUCCAACCAACUACUCCCAACGUUGGGUUCGAAGUAGCUUACGAGUUGGUUCUAUGGAGAAGAGAGAAUGGCAUCCUGAAGGCCGCUGUCCAGACAUUAAAUCUCGUUCCGUUUAUGAUACCCUCAGCAUGAGCGAAGUAACAUCUAUCAGGGUCUAUCAGGGAGGUAACAACGCCCAGGAUGGUUUGCAAGGGAAGUAACAACGUCCAGGUUUGUUUGCAGGGGAAGCAACAACGCCCAUGAUUGUUUGCAAAGGAAGUAACAACGCCCUUAAGUGUCUGCUGCCAAUAAAACUAAUUGCUUCUUAUGA